rnacentral:sRNA from 1 species
UUUUAGCCCAGAUAGAAAUGAAAAGCAUUUUACUGAAGAAUUCUAUUUUAUGUUGUGCUAAAAAAGCGACCUAAGAAGCUCUUUUUAGUGCUUACAAAAAAAGAAUUGUGGAUAAAAUCUUGAAAUGGAUAGCUGGAAUAACU